UACGUAGGGUGCAAGCGUUGUCCGGAAUUAUUGGGCGUAAAGAGCUCGUAGGCGGCUAGUCGCGUCGGCUGUGAAAACCUGGGGCUCAACCCCGGGCCUGCAGCCGAUACGGGCUAGCUAGAAUUCGGUAGGGGAGACUGGAAUUCCUGGUGUAGCGGUGAAAUGCGCAGAUAUCAGGAGGAACACCGGUGACGAAGGCGGGUCUCUGGGCCGAUAUUGACGCUGAGGAGCGAAAGCGUGGGGAGCGAACAGG
rnacentral:rRNA from 1 species